GUUAUUAAGGUCCAACAUGCCUUAAAAGCAAAUGGAUCAAGAAGAGAAAGCAAAUCCAGAGCAAUAAACUCCAGUUCUUUUAGAACACUUACUGCUCUGGAUGAGGAUUUGAUGCGAUGUAAAUAUGUGUAGGAACAAUCAUCAUCCUACAACUACUCUUACUACUUUUUGUUGCUGCAACAAUAUGAAUUCCAUAGUAAGAAAAAGCAUGAUUUACAAUAACACAUAAAUAGGAAAAGAGCAUGAAUAGGCAAGCUCUGUAACCACUACUCAAAAGGGGGCAAUGGAGUGCUGAUGGUGGGUGCUUUGAAGCAUUUUAUCAAAUAAAUUGAGAUCUCUUAAAGAUGGUUGGAGUAGGCUUCUACAGAUCCUUAUUGUGAACAAAUACAAUGAUCAGCAAUGUAGCAUAAUUUUACGAUUGCAAAUGUAAUGAAAUAUACACAAUAUAUCAUAUAACAAUAACUACAAAAAUUUUCAAAUCUCCCAUACGUAUAAUAAAUUAACUUCAAAUAAAAAUGUUAUGCUAAUUAUUUAAUGGUAUAAAAAUGAUCCAAAUCCUAAUAUCUAUGUGACUAAGGUGGCAUGCUUGCUUCUCUACCCAUGGUUGUUUGCAUCUCAAAAAGAUAUUUUUUAUACUCCAAAUUGCUAAUGACCCAUAAUUUGGAUAUUGCUAUCUUGGUUGCAAAUAGCUAGGAGUGGUGCAGUGAUUUCUGAUAACACUGAAAUGAAGAAUGAUUCUAAGAAAGUUAUUGAAGAGUUUAGUUCAAGAUAAAACAAUAGGUUAAAAUGGUUGAGAAAGGAGGAUUAGAGCACUGGUUUGAGGAGAAUACUUGUACGGAUUUCUGCUUCAAGCACUCUUAGAUCGUGUCACUAGCUCAUAUCUCGUUUGAAGGAGAAUACCUUAUACUUUACUUUCAUUUUCUCAUCUUAUUAAAUUCCCUCUCUUUACCAAAAAAGGAAGGGAAAAUUAGCAGCAGUAGAAUUAUGUUGGAAUAUUAAGAUGCUA
rnacentral:misc_RNA from 1 species